AGGAACACCUGUGUAUAAAAUUCUUCAUGAAAGUGAUUCAGGAGGGAAGAUUAUCAAAAAAGUGACUUUUGUCUUCCGAUAUAAGGAAAACAAAUACUAUCUAAAGCAACAGGAAGGGAAUACCACGGAGCUGGCAGUGCUCAACAUUGAAGGGGAUUGGAAAUGUACACUUCCCCCCGAUGUUUGCUGGUUUCGGAUGGUUCCUCUUAAUGGCGGUGAAAGACAUACCUUUGAACCUGUGAUAGGGGCGAUCCCGACACCUGAGCUGUUUAACAAAAAAGAAUUCACAAUGCAGGAAGUCCCUGAAGACCCUACGAGGAAGACCUGACCAAGAAGCAGCAGUAAAGAAUUGAAAACCAAUUAGGCUUUCCAUCACCAUGCUGAAGAACUCCCUGCUUGAUGUAAAUUCUUUCCCCAACCAUUACCACAGUGACAUAGAGAAAAGAAGAGCCAUUGACAGAGGGAUCCUGGUUUUCAUGAUGAUCUUUUGAGUCUUGAUUCUCUUAGCCUUUUGAUGACUGAUGUUCUAUGAUAUUAAAAGGGUUCUUGGAGGGGUUUGGUGGAAGGGUAACCUUUUUUCUACCAGUGAAGCAGAUAAAUGCUUUUGAAAAGCAAAAGAAAAGUGAAUGGUUAACAAACCUGGCUAUCAAUGGUUAGUAGAAGAAAAAAAAGAUGCAGUCCAUUAAAUGUGAUUAUUUUACACAGUGUAUUUAUGAAUUCUAAACUCAGAGUAAGGAUUAUGGCUUCCUGCUCUUUUAAUGCUUUUAAUAUGAAUUUCCAUGUUGGGUAUUAUUGGUUUGGAAAUUAAAAUCUUUUUGCAAUACAGGGGGAUUUUAUUGUUUCCUGAAGACACAAAUGUGAAUGUAAAUAUAUUUAUAAUAAAAUGAUGAUGAUCAUAAAGUCAUGUCU